GUAGGGUGCGAGCGUUAUCCGGGAAUCAUUGGGGCGUAAAGAGCUCGUAGGCGGUUCAGCAAGUCGGCUGUGAAAUUCCGAGGGCUCAACCUCGGAACUGCAGUCGAUACUGCUGUGACUCGAGUCCGGUAGAGGAGAAUGGAAUUCAGGGUGUAGCGGUGAAAUGCGCAGAUAUCCUGAGGAACACCAGUAGCGAAGGCGGUUCUCUGGGCCGGUACUGACGCUGAGGAGCGAAAGCGUGGGUAGCAAACAGGAUUAGAUACCCUGGUAGUCCACGCCGUAAACGUUGGACACUAGGUGUGGCGUUCCGACCAACGGGUGCCGUGCCGAAGCUAACGCAUUAAGUGUCCCGCCUGGGGAGUACGGCCGCAAGGCUA
rnacentral:rRNA from 1 species